GGAGGGAUGCGAGAGCGGCCGAAUCGGGCGGUCUCGAAAACCGUUGUGCGUACUGCGUACCGUGGGUUCGAAUCCCACUCCCUCCG
rnacentral:tRNA from 1 species